rnacentral:rRNA from 1 species
CAACUUUUAACAACGGAUCUCUUGGCUCUCGCAUCGAUGAAGAACGCAGCGAAAUGCGAUAAGUAAUGUGAAUUGCAGAAUUCAGUGAAUCAUCGAAUCUUUGAACGCACCUUGCACUCUCUGGUAUUCUGGAGAGUACGCCUGUUCGAGUGUCAUGA